rnacentral:rRNA from 1 species
CCCUUAGAUGUUCGGGGCCGCGCGCGCGCUACACUGAAGGAAUCAGCACGUCUUUCUCCUUGUCCGAAAGGACUGGGUAACCCGCUGAACCUCCUUCGUGCUAGGGAUUGGGGCUUGUAAUUCUUCCCCAUGAACGAGGAAUUCCCAGUAAGCGCGAGUCAUAAGCUCGCGUUGAUUACGUCCCUGCCCUUUGUACACACCGCCCGUCGCUACUACCGAUUGGAUGGUUUAGUGAGAUCCUCGGAUUGGUCCCGGCGCGGCCUCUGGUCGUGCCGGAGUGCCGAAAAGAAUGUCGAACUUGAUCAUCUAGAGGAAGUAAAAGUCGUAACA